UCUAAUUGGUUCAUUUCCGGAGCAUAAUUAAUGCUGAACAUUCUGGGUGGCUUCUGAGAGAAGACAGGACCCACAGAGGCCAGUGUUCUCGGAAGAGGCUCUCAGAGAAGGGCUACUCUGCUACACCUUCCCUUCCCCUGCAAAUCCCAUAGGAAGCAGCAGUUACUGUAACAGUUGUCUAGGUGUACCAAGCACGUUCCUGAGUUCCUUCUCCAUGAAGCAUUUCACAGGAGGACAAGGAGGCUCUUUUGAGACUUGUCACAUGGCAGCAGAUGGAGUGCAUCCCCAGAGGACUGGAUCCCAGAAAGCAGCUGUUCCCAGGUUCUAGUUCUAACAGCUGGGUCACAGGUCCUCUGCACAAACCCAAUGCCAGAAAUCAAUAGGUCCCACUGUGCCUGCCUGCAUGUCAGACUCUCCUAUCCCAGGCUCAUGCCCUUCAUGUACUUGGAACAGAAGAUUGGGAAAAAUGACAUCAUUUACUUUAAAAGACUCUAUCUGUAAAUUAAUAGAGGAUAAGAGUAUUAUAAAAAUCUAAUGUUACAGAGACUGCCUAGAAUUUGCUAGGAAAAUGAGAUGUUAAUUAUUUUAGAUACCAAAGGACUCACCAUAAAGUAGAGAGACAGAAGGAUAGAGCAUAACCAGAGUGAAAAAAAAAAUCACUAAAUGCCUCUGGUCCUCCUUUUUUCCCCCAAUGCAUUAUUUGCCUCCAACCAAAAAGCAGGCUAGAGGUUUCAGUAUUAGAAGAGAGACUAAAGAAUCCAUAAAAUGACGUGUAUGUACACAGAGGAGUAUAACUGUAUGAUUACAUAAUUAAGCAUAUUAAAGUAUUUAUACUGCUGAGACUAAGAGCUCCUUCUCAAAGGCAUUCCACCAAAGCUGAAAGGGAAAAAAGAAGAUAGAAUACACAGCAUCUAAUUGCAAUCUUCUACAACACCAGACAUCCCCAGCUGGUGCCACAGCUGAAUUCUCUUAAUUAAAAUCUUGUAAC